UGUGGGAGCUGGCUUGCCUGCGAUGGCGCUGGGUCAGCCAUGCAUCUGUUGCUGAUACACCGCUAUCGCAGGCAAGCCAGCUCCCACA
rnacentral:misc_RNA from 1 species